rnacentral:rRNA from 1 species
GACGAACGCUGGCGGCGUGCUUAACACAUGCAAGUCGAACGAUGAAGCCGGAGCUUGCUCUGGUGAAUUAGUGGCGAACGGGUGAGUAACACGUGAGUAACCUGCCCUUGACUCUGGGAUAACUGCGGGAAACUGUAGCUAAUACCGGAUACGACCCUCGGAGGCAUCUCCUGGGGGUGGAAAGAAUUUCGGUCAAGGAUGGACUCGCGGCCUAUCAGCUAGUUGGUGAGGUAAGGGCUCACCAAGGCGACGACGGGUAGCCGGCCUGAGAGGAUGACCGGCCACACUGGGACUGAGACACGGCCCAGACUCCUACGGGAGGCAGCAGUGGGGAAUAUUGCACAAUGGGCGCAAGCCUGAUGCAGCAACGCCGCGUGAGGGAUGACGGCCUUCGGGUUGUAAACCUCUUUUAGCAGGGAAGAAGCGAAAGUGACGGUACCUGCAGAAAAAGCACCGGCUAACUACGUGCCAGCCGCCGCAGUAA